GCUCGUAGUUGAAGUUCUGAUUGUUCGGGCCUCGCGCUUUAUAGCCGAGGAACCGACAGUCAUCCGCUUGCAAAUAUAUGUUCGCCUUUAACCGGGUGGCUAUAUGAGUAAGCAAUUUACCUUGAGAAAAACAGAGUGUUCCAGGCAGGUUUGUCCGGAAUGCAUUAGCAUGGAAUAAUAGAAUAUGACUGAAGUCGAUUUAUUGGUUUAAGGCUUUAGUAAUGAUUAAUAGGAACAGUCGGGGGCAUUGGUACUUGACAGUCAGAGGUGAAAUUCUAGGAUUUGUCAAAGACUAACAAAUGCGAAAGCAUUUGCCAAGGAUGUUUUCAUUAAUCAAGAACGAAAGUUAGGGGAUCAAAGACGAUCAGAUACCGUCCUAGUCUUAACUAUAAACUAUACCGACUCGGAUUCAGAUGAAUCAAAAAAGUUACAUUUGGGACCGUAGGAGAAAUCAAAGUUUU
rnacentral:rRNA from 1 species